rnacentral:rRNA from 1 species
GACGAGGGGUGCAAGCGUUGUUCGGAAUUACUGGGCGUAAAGCGCAUGUAUACGGUUCUAUAAGUCAGGCGUGAAAGCCCUGGGCUUAACCCAGGAAGUGCGUUUGAAACUAUAGAACUUGAAUAUCGGAGAGGGCAGCGGAAUUCCUGGUGUAGUGGUAAAAUGCGUAGAUAUCAGGAGGAACAUCGGAGGCGAAGGCGGCUGCCUGGCCGAAUAUUGACGUUGAGAUGCGAAAGCGUGGGGAUCAAACAGG